CGGGACGGGUAAGUAAUGUCUGGGAAACUGCCUGAUGGAGGGGGAUAACUGCUGGAAACGGUAGCUAAUACCGCAUAACGUCGCAAGACCAAAGAGGGGGACCUUCGGGCCUCUUGCCAUCGGAUGUGCCCAGAUGGGAUUAGCUAGUAGGUGGGGUAACGGCUCACCUAGGCGACGAUCCCUAGCUGGUCUGAGAGGAUGACCAGCCACACUGGAACUGAGACACGGUCCAG
rnacentral:rRNA from 1 species